AACAUUUGUCCAGGGAAAAGCCUUUUUCCGGUUGGAAACUGCCCCGGCCUCGGGAGGCCAGGCGAUUUUCGUUCUCCCGAUGCCAUCCCCGCGACGACCCGACUCCCAGCGACUCCAACCCUAGCCAACUCCUCCGCCGUCGCUCGUCUCCAACGCCUAGCCAGCUCCUCUCCAACGCCAUCGCUCGUCUGUCGUCGCCACGAGCUCCUCCGCCGUCGCACCUGAUCCACACCGAGCUCUCUGACGCUGUCCCCUUCCCCUCCACAAGAUAUGGGUUCUUGGGAGGAGCAAGUUAGACAAUUUUUGUUAGAUGAGGAAGAAGACGACGAUGAGUUGUUCUUUGUUAUUCUGCCUGCUAUAAUUCCAUACCUCUCAGAAGAGAAAGAGCCCAUCCACACCUCCUCACUCACUGGUGCUAAAAAAGGUUAGAGAAAUCCUUGAAGGACAUGAGAGUUGGUGCAAAUCCGAGUUCCGAAUGGAGCCAGCAAUAUUCAGAACCACAACAAAUUUUCUUAGAAGAGAGAAUUUACUAUGAGACACACGAGGAGUUACCAUUGAGGAGCAGCUUGGGAUGUUCAUGUACAAGAUCUCCCACAAUGCUAGUAACCAAAUGCUACAAAAGGCUUUUCAACAUAGUGGAGAGACUAUCCAUAGAAAAAUAUCCGAAGUAUUUGAUAUUGUUCCCACACUAACUCAGCGUUUUGUGAAGCUUCCUAGCUCUAUCCAAACUCAUACCAAAAUUGCAACAGAUUCUAGGUUCAUGCCAUUUUUUCAGAACUGCAUUGGUGCAAUCGACGGCACACAUAUACCCAUCACCAUAUCAGAACAUAGGGCUGCUCCAUAUAGAAAUAGGAAAGGAACUCUUUCACAUAAUGUUAUGGUAGCCUGCGACUUUGACCUUGAAAGCUCUCUUGUGAGUUUUGGUGUUUGGAUGACAACUCAAUUAAAGGAC